rnacentral:rRNA from 1 species
GUUGUGAGGUUAAGCGACUAAGCGUACACGGUGGAUGCCCUGGCAGUCAGAGGCGAUGAAGGGCGUGCUAAUCUGCGAUAAGCGCCGGUAAGGUGAUAUGAACCGUUAUAACCGGCGAUACCCGAAUGGGGAAACCCAGUGUGAUUCGUCACACUAUCAUUAACUGAAUCCAUAGGUUAAUGAGGCGAACCGGGGGAACUGAAACAUCUAAGUACCCCGAGGAAAAGAAAUCAACCGAGAUUCCCCCAGUAGCGGCGAGCGAACGGGGAGGAGCCCAGAGCCUGAAUCAGCAUGUGUGUUAGUGGAAGCGUCUGGAAAGGCGCGCGAUACAGGGUGACAGCCCCGUACACAAAAGCGCAUGUGCUGUGAGCUCGAUGAGUAGGGCGGGACACGUGGUAUCCUGUCUGAAUAUGGGGGGACCAUCCUCCAAGGCUAAAUACUCCUGACUGACCGAUAGUGAACCAGUACCGUGAGGGAAAGGCGAAAAGAACCCCGGCGAGGGGAGUGAAAAAGAACCUGAAACCGUGUACGUACAAGCAGUGGGAGCACCCUUUGGGUGUGACUGCGUACCUUUUGUAUAAUGGGUCAGCGACUUAUAUUCUGUAGCAAGGUUAACCGAAUAGGGGAGC